rnacentral:rRNA from 1 species
UUACGGUCAAAUCACGCUGAAACACCGGUUCUCGUUCGAUCACCGAAGUUAAGCAUCGUAGAGCCAGGUCAGCACUUAGAUGGGGGACCGCUUGGGAACACCUGGUACUGUAAG